rnacentral:rRNA from 1 species
AUUGAACGCUGGCGGAAUGCUUUACACAUGCAAGUCGAACGGCAGCACGGACUUCGGUCUGGUGGCGAGUGGCGAACGGGUGAGUAAUGUAUCGGAACGUGCCCAGUCGUGGGGGAUAACGUAGUGAAAAUUACGCUAAUACCGCAUACGAUCUAUGGAUGAAAGCGGGGGAUCGCAAGACCUCGCGCGAUUGGAGCGGCCGAUAUCAGAUUAGGUAGUUGGUGGGGUAAAGGCCCACCAAGCCAACGAUCUGUAGCUGGUCUGAGAGGACGACCAGCCACACUGGAACUGAGACACGGUCCAGACUCCUACGGGAGGCAGCAGUGGGGAAUUUUGGACAAUGGGCGAAAGCCUGAUCCAGCCAUUCCGCGUGCAGGAUGUAGGCCCUCGGGUUGUAAACUGCUUUUGUACAGAACGAAAAGGUUUCUACUAAUACUAGGAGCUCAUGACGGUACUGUGAGAAUAAGCACCGGCUAACUACGUGCCAGCCGCCGCGGUAA